rfam:Hordeum vulgare subsp. vulgare, WGS project CAJW01000000 data, contig: morex_contig_1570162
UGCUUGAACCCUCCGUCCGGAAUUACUUGUCAUAGAAAUGAAUGUAUCUAGACGUAUUUCAGUUCUAGAUACAUCUAUUUCUUUCCAUUUUGGUGACAAGUAAUUCCGUACGGAGGGAGUAAUAG